AUUCAGCUGUUGAUUCCCGAAUAGAACGAAACGCGCUUCCUGAAU
rnacentral:hammerhead_ribozyme from 1 species